rnacentral:lncRNA from 1 species
CCCGCCGCGCAUCGGCUCCGGGCUCAAGGCGCUCCUGCAGCUGCCAGCCAGUGACCCCACUUACUGGGCCACUGCCUACUUCGACGUCCUGCUGGACAAGGUCAGCAGCCCCAGGAAUGCUGAGGCCAGGUCAGGGCUCGGAUGGAGAGCGUCUGCGGGGACAUGUGAUGUCUGGGGGUCACACGGGCCGUGGGGGUCCCCUCACUGGUGGCCUCACAGGGCCUGGGGCUUCUCCCUGGAACCAGGGCAGUGGGUCUGACCCUGCUUCUGUUUCCCACCAGAAUUGCCCCCCAGCUCACACUUGGUAAAUGCUCAGAGCCCCAGCUGCCCACCCUGGAGUUCCAUUCCUCAUGAAGGGAUAUGGCCUUACCUGGGCCCCAGAGGGACCAUUUUUUUCUCCCUGGACUCAAGAAUCCACAGCCGUGCUCCUUGGGACCCUGUGUCCCCUGGGCCACUUCUCGUGGGUGCCUGGAGGCUCCACCAACUGCCCCUCCCUGUGGCCCAGGCUCUGCCACCUCUGCUGAGCCUGCCUGGAGUCCACCCUGCUCCUCGCCCAGGGCCCGGCCCUCACCCUCAUCCCAGGAGCAAACACAAUCUCCUUCCAGGGCACAAACAGGGGUUUCUCAGCCACCCUCUCCUGUGUCCUAGUGGCAGUGAGGCCCCAGGGUAGCCACCCUCUGCUGGGCAUCUCCUAUCCUAAUUUAGCAAACUUCCGCCUGUUGAGAUGCUGAUGGCCUCCUGGGGCCUCCCCUCAUGCCCAACACUUAAGAAUUUUUACCCCAGAGCCUGCAGAUUAGGGGGCAAAGGCCAUGCUCUGUGCUCUCAGCAGACCUGUGUGGGCAGGGUGCGGUGAGGGUGGGGUGGUCACCGGAGGCAGCCUUCAAGCAGCACCGUGUGGGGCCUCCUCCUCAGUGUAGGCCCAUGCCAGGGACGCCGUGUGUGAGGAGGGGCUCAGGGAGCAGCAGAGGCUGGGGCCGCUCCGCCUCUAGGAUGCCUGUCCAGGCAGAUACCCGGGGCAGGAAGGCCCGGCAUGGCCCAGGGAGGGCCAGUUGUUCCACGCUGUGCUCUCGGCCCUGAGAGCUUAUCAUGGGCUCCAGGGGUCCCUGUAACCCUUCUCCCCUGCAACCCUGCCUGUAGUUCCAGGUCUUCAACAUCCAGGAUAAGGACCGGAUCUCUGCCAUGCAGAGCAUCUUCCAGAAGACCAGGACUCUGGGAGGCGAGGAGAGCUGAGCUGGGCCACCUGGUCUCAGCCACCUGUUCUUGGCUCCCCAACAGACUCUGCACUGCACCAUGGGAGGCUCCUGGGAUGUUUGGAAGAAGAAACGGGCUUCUCCUUGAGGGGGUAGUGGAGGGAUUUUGUCCCCAGCAGUGGCCUCUGAGAGUCUUUCAGUGCCUGGUGGGGCAGGGCAGGCCUCUUGGAGCACCUCCUCCCUGGGUCAGGGCCUGGAUGCAGGUGCCAAGCUCUCCAUGUGGUGCAUGUUGACCCAGCCACGUGGUGUUGUCAAGCAAACAGCAUCGGCAGGAGACCUGGAGCUGAGGACUUGGCCCUGCCUGCACUGUAUGCCAUUCCUUGGUGACGAAAUGCUGUAUAUUUGGUUUUGAAAAAAUGAAUGUGCUGGGUAUACACAGCAGAAAGGGUACUGUCCACUUUUUGUAUAUCAGUGUGGAAAAUAUUUCCCCUAGAAGUAGAAAAGGCUCAUGUGCUGAUGGAUAAUUUUGAGUCUUCUCCAUUCUCUGUGAAUGACCCCCUUCCCCAGGCAUCCCCACCUCCUACCUCGUUCUUAGAGCAAACUAAAGCCAACUGAGGGUGCACACACAGCCAUGAGCCCACCUGCCCAGGACUACUCCCAUCUGCUUCUUCCCGUCCCCGUGGAAGUGGCCCCUGAUAUGGAUUGUAUCUGUAUCCCCACCCAAAUCUCAGGUAGAAUUGGAUCUGUGUCCCCACCCAAGUCUCAGGUAGACUUGUAAUCCCCAGUGUUGGAGGAGGGGCCCAGUGGGAGGUGAUUGGAUCAUGGGGGUGGAUUUCUCCCUUACUGUUCUCAUGAUAGUGAGUGAGUUCUCAUGAGAUCUGGUUUUUUGAGUGUGUGGCCCCUCCCCCUCUCCUUUUGCUCUCUUCCUCUUUCUCCGGCCAUGUAAGAUAUGCCUCCUUCUCCUUCACCUUCCACCAUGAUUGUCAGUUUCCUGAGGCCUCCCAGCCAUGCUUCCUGUAUAGCCUGCGGGACUGUGAGUCAAUUAAACCUCUUUAUUCAUUA